rnacentral:snRNA from 1 species
GUGCUGGCUUCGGCAGCACAUGUACUGAAAUUGGAAUGAUACAGAGAUUAGCAUGGCCCCUGUGCAAGGAUGACACACAAAUUCGUGAAGCGUUCCGUAUUUUU